rnacentral:lncRNA from 1 species
AUUUAAUAAAAAUUAAAAUGUUUUAGUAAUAAUAGGUUUUCAUUAUAUUAAUUUCUGUCAUUUAUUUAACAAAAUAAAAAAAUUACAAAUGCAAUUUUUUUUUUUUUUUUCUUAUUUAAUAGUAAUUCUUAUUUAAAUGCUUACAAUAAUAAAAAAAAAAAAAAAAGUACAAAAUAGUUACACGUUUGUAUCUGUUUGAAACGUUACACAUUGUUUAUGAGAAAAAAAGGCAAAUUUUCAUAUUAACUCAAACGUUUUAAGUUACAUUGAUGUAUAUAGUAAAAAAAAAAAAAGAAAAAAAGGUAGCGCACAAACACAUGUUAUAUAUAUAUUUACAUUAAUGAAGUAAAGGCCUAGUAUGAAUUUUUUUUUAUAAGAUUAUGGAUGAUUUAGAAUUAAAAGCACUUGGAAGAAUCCAUACUUAUUUUAAAGAAUAUUUAGAUAGUAAAGCUUGUACUAAUUCUAUAUCAUUAGAAGCGGGUCUUGAAAAAAGUGAUUUACAAACUGCUCAUAAUGCACUAAAAAAAUAUAUAUUAAGAUUAAAAAAUAUAAAUGAUUUUAUAAAACAAGAAAAUUAUUUUUUAAAAAAGAAAAAUGAAGAAAUAAUUAAUAAGCAAAACUAUGACAAGGCCUUAAAUACUAUAUCUGAAAACACAAAUAAAAUACAUGCACAACAUCGAAAUGAAAUAAAUCAAUUAAAUAGUGAAAAUGAUUUUUUCAAAUAUAAAUUUGAAAAAUUGUUGAGAAAAAAAUUGAGUUUAGAAAGAAAUAAUAAAGAAUUAAACGACGCAUUGUUAAAUAGGGGUAGUAAUAAUAAUAAUAAUUACUUAUUAAAUGAAAAUGGAGAAAAUGAGAAAUCACAAAUAAAAACUAACACAUUAUCGCAUAACGCAUUAACAGAAUUGUCCGAGUUAUGUCAAAAGAAUGAACAAAACAUGAUUGAUGAUUAUUGUCACAACACAAAAAACUACAACUUAAAUAACAAUAAUGAUAUUAAUCAAAUUAUGUUUAAAAACAGAACUGAAAAUAUUUUUAAAUGUACAAAUAUACUAGAAGAUUUAUUACAUAUUAUAAAUGGUAGUGUCAAAUAUAAGGAUCCACAUAUGUUUCAAAAGUAUAUU